CACGUAGGGGGGCGAGCGUUGUCCGGAUUUAUUGGGUGUAAAGAGCUCGUAGGCGGCUCGGUAAGUCGGGUGUGAAACCUCCAGGCUCAACCUGGAGACGCCACCCGAUACUGCCGUGGCUAGAGUCCGGUAGAGGAGCGUAGAAUUCCUGGUGUAGCGGUGAAAUGCGCAGAUAUCAGGAGGAAUACCAGCGGCGAAGGCGGCGCUCUGGGCCGGUACUGACGCUGAGGAGCGAAAGCGUGGGGAGCAAACAGG
rnacentral:rRNA from 1 species